AUUGAACGCUGGCGGCAGGCCUAACACAUGCAAGUCGAGCGGAACGGCGGACGGGUGAGUAAUGCAUAGGAAUCUGCCUGGUAGUGGGGGAUAACGUCCGGAAACGGGCGCUAAUACCGCAUACUCUCAGAUGAGCCUGGGUCGGAUUAGCUAGUUGGUGGGGGAAAGGCCUACCAGGGCGACGAUCCUUAACUGGUCUGAGAGGAUGAUCAGUCACACUGGAACUGAGACACGGUCCAGACUCCUACGUGAGGCAGCAGUGGGGAAUAUUGGAAAAUGGGCGUAAGCCUGAUCCAGCCAUGCCGCGUGUGUGAAGAAGGUCUUCGGAUUGUAAAGCACUUUAAGUUGGGAGGCGUUACCAACAGAAUAAGCACCGGCUAACUUCGUGCCAGCAGCCGCGGUAAUUC
rnacentral:rRNA from 1 species